rnacentral:rRNA from 1 species
UACGUAGGGUGCGAGCGUUGUCCGGAAUUACUGGGCGUAAAGAGCUCGUAGGUGGUUUGUCACGUCGUCUGUGAAAUUCCGGGGCUUAACCUCGGGCGUGCAGGCGAUACGGGCAAUACUUGAGUGCUGUAGGGGAGACUGGAAUUCCUGGUGUAGCGGUGAAAUGCGCAGAUAUCAGGAGGAACACCAAUGGCGAAGGCAGGUCUCUGGGCAGUUACUGACGCUGAGGAGCGAAAGCAUGGGCAGCGAACAGGAUUAGA